rnacentral:tRNA from 14 species
AGCUCAGUUUGUAGAGCGCCUGCUUUGCAUGCAUGAGAUCGCUGAUUCGAUUCCUUCAUUCUCC